rnacentral:tRNA from 5 species
GCGGGAAUAGCUCAGUUGGUAGAGCAUCUGCUUCCCAAGCAGAGGGUCGCGAGUUCGAGUCUCGUUUCCCGCUCCA